UGCUACCAUUUCGGGCCACAGCGCAAAUUUAUUAUUAAACAAAUGCCGAAUGAAACUAACGGAGUUUGUUUACUUUUUAGCACGGUUAUAUCGAGUGCACUAUAAAGGCUGAGGAAUAAACCCUGCCAGCUACGGCUCACCACUUUCCCCUGAAAUUCAAACGAUUUACAAACACAUUCACAACUUUUUAGUCAUCUCACCCACACACUUACAAAUUUUUUGUUCGAACUGUCAAAACAAUGUCCCUUUGUUAAAGUUACAUACCCGAUAAGAAUUCGUACUCUAAUAAGAAUUCUAUGCGUCAGAGCGAGCAAGUUAGAAACAUCGGAGUUUUGACGACAGUAUACAUACUGUGAAGAAAUGUCACUUUGCGAAAAUUUUGAAGAUUGCAAAACAGCAGCGGGUUAGUCACAUUCUUAAGAUUUGGGAUUCACCAUCAGAACCUUCUGCCCUCAGCUUCAUCGUCGCCAGGAGCACCACUAGUACCUUCUGCCCUCAGCUCCUUCAUCGCCAGGAGCACCUUCAAAGUGUAGUUCAAACUUGUAAAAUUUGGCAAAGUUGUAAGAAAACUUAGUUUUUGUGAACCACCAUAAAUGAUUUGCAACUGUUAAUAUAUAUCAGAAGAAAGGUAAACCGAUUACCUUUCUUUUGAUUAUAACACCAUUAAAAUCGCUUUACGUUUUCAUAACAAUUUUGCAAGUUUUGUAAACAACUAUAUGUAAGCAGUGAA